rnacentral:rRNA from 1 species
GAUGAACGCUGGCGGUAUGCUUAACACAUGCAAGUCGAACGGUACCUUCGGGUAUAGUGGCGGACGGGUGAGUAACGCGUGAGAAGCUAUCUUCAGGUCGGGGACAACAGAUAGAAAUGAAUGCUAAUACAGGAUGUGCCGAAAGGUAAAAGAUUUAUUGCCUGAAAAAGAGCUCGCGUCAGAUUAGCUAGUAGGUGGUGUAAGAGACUACCUAGGCUUCGAUCUGUAGCUGGUCUGAGAGGACGAUCAGCCACACUGGAACUGAGACACGGUCCAGACUCCUACGGGAGGCAGCAGUGGGGAAUUUUCCGCAAUGGGCGAAAGCCUGACGGAGCAAUACCGCGUGAGGGACGAAGGCUCUUGGGUCGUAAACCUCUUUUCUCAAGGAAGAUUCAGACGGUACUUGAGGAAUAAGCAUCGGCUAACUCUGUG